ensembl:lncRNA novel transcript, antisense to ARIH2
CAUAACCCUUAGGGCUCCCGUGAAGCUGGAGUUCACCCUGCCAUAUUCCACAGCCCUACAUUCCCAUGUCUGCUUUGGAGGGGUCCGGAGGUCUCAGAAUGGGGGGGUUGGGACAUUUAUAUCAGUACUCUACCACAACCCUGGGAUCUAUCUGUGGUGGGGAAUGAUUCAGCCUGUACUGAGGGAGAGGAGAGCGGAAAACUGGCAGGAUUUUCUACUUCAUUCCACAGGGAUCACUUACAGGUGCCCUCUCCCCCAACAGCCAGAAAGGGAAAACAGAGCCGAGUUUGGCCACUGGGGCCUCCACAGCCCUCUGGAAGAAGGGGCUGACUGAUAGGAAGGCACUCCUCUGGUGUUCACUGGCCAGACCCCUGUGGGCUCAGAAGACUACCUAGACCCCAUGAAGAAAGACUCUAGACACAUUUUUAUAAUCAGAAACUUACAGUUUAUUGUGAAUAAACCACUCAACUUUGAGCAGA